rnacentral:rRNA from 1 species
UACGUAGGGGGCGAGCGUUGUCCGAAGUUACUGGGCGUAAAGGGCGCGUAGGCGGCCGCCUAAGUCAGACGUUAAAUCCCUCGGCUCAACCGGGGAACUGCGUCUGAUACUGGGUGGCUUGAGUCCGGGAGAGGGAUGCGGAAUUCCAGGUGUAGCGGUGAAAUGCGUAGAUAUCUGGAGGAACACCGGUGGCGAAGGCGGCAUCCUGGAGCGGCAUUGACGCUGAGGCGCGAAAGCCAGGGGAGCAAACGGG